AACCAAGCUGGGCCUGUAAGGAUUCAUA
rnacentral:piRNA from 1 species